rnacentral:rRNA from 1 species
CCAUUUUCGAGGUGAUUAGUUUACUAAGAGCUAAGAUGUUGGUAUCUUAGUGGCGGACGGGUGAGUAACGCGUGGGUAACCUGCCUUACACUGGGGGAUAACACUUAGAAAUAGGUGCUAAUACCGCAUAACAGAGGGAGUCGCAUGACUUCGUCUUAAAAACUCCGGUGGUGUAAGAUGGACCCGCGUCUGAUUAGCUGGUUGGCGGGGUAGCGGCCCACCAAGGCGACGAUCAGUAGCCGGCCUGAGAGGGUGAACGGCCACAUUGGGACUGAGACACGGCCCAAACUCCUACGGGAGGCAGCAGUGGGGAAUACUGGACAAUGGGGGGAACCCUGAUCCAGCGACGCCGCGUGAGUGAAGAAGUAUUUCGGUAUGUAAAGCUCUAUCAGCAGGGAAGAAAGAAAUGACGGUACCUGACUAAGAAGCCCCGGCUAACUACGUGCCAGCAGCCGCGGUAAUACGUAGGGGGCAAGCGUUAUCCGGAUUUACUGGGUGUAAAGGGAGCGUAGACGGUAGUGCAAGUCUGGAGUGAAAGGCGGGGGCCCAACCCCCGGACUGCUCUGGAAACUGUGCGACUAGAGUGCAGGAGAGGUAAGUGGAAUUCCUAGUGUAGCGGUGAAAUGCGUAGAUAUUAGGAGGAACACCAGUGGCGAAGGCGGCUUACUGGACUGUAACUGACGUUGAGGCUCGAAAGCGUGGGGAGCAAACAGGAUUAGAUACCCUGGUAGUCCACGCCGUAAACGAUGAUCACUAG